GACCGCGCGUAGCUCAGUCGGCGGAGCGUUGGGCUGGUAUUACAAAGGUCGUAGGUUUCGAAUCCCACCGUGGUCA